UGCCAGCCGCCGCGGUAAUACGAAGGGACCUAGCGUAGUUCGGAAUUAUUAGGUUUAAAGGGUUCGCAGGCGGAAUUUUAAGUCAGUGGUGAGAGCCUAUAGCUCAACUAUAGAACUGCCACUGAUACUGAUAUUCUUGAGUAUAGAUGAAGUGGGCGGAAUAUGUCAUGUAGCGGUGAAAUGCAUAGAUAUGACAUGGAACACCAAUUGCGAAGGCAGCUCACUAAACUAUUACUGACGCUCAUGAACGAAAGCAUGGGGAGCGAACAGGAUUAGAUA
rnacentral:rRNA from 1 species